GUGGGCCGGGCACAGGUGUGGGUGGUAGAGCAAGGGUCUCUGGCAGCAGAAAGGGUCCCUUCAGCCUUUGCUCUCCUUGCAGCUCCCUGUGGUUUCCCUGCUCACCCCCAUCUUGGGGACAGCAGGUCUGUGAGCACCCAUUCCCCAGCCAGGCAUUGGAGCGCCCCACUCGCUCUCCCGCACUCCCUCCUGGAGAUGCCCUCUUAUAUCCCUGGAGCUCGCACCCCCCAGGGCCACAGGACUCCCAGUCCCCGCUUCAGAUACUUACUGAAGCAGCUGUGGCCCCCAGGCUGCCUCUUGCCAGCUGUCUGUCUGUCUGUCGGUCUGUCUUUGAGGGCUGAGAAGUCUCCAGGAAGCCAGCUUCCUCCCUCCGCCCCUCCUUGCUGCCACCCACGCACACCCCAGCUGCAUUCUGCCCUCCUGUGCCUGCUGCCGCUGCCACCAGGGGUCGGCUGCCUCCCACCUGUGCCCUUCUGGGGCCCAAGGCCCUGUUCCCUGGGAAUGGGUGAGGGGCCAGGCCUUCCCGACCAUCCUGCUUUCCCCAGCUUCCAGACCCUCUCCCCUCCUGCUGUGUUUCUCCUCUGGGUCUUUGUCACAUCCAGCCACUGCCUACUUGCUGGGCACAGCUCGCCUGACCCCCAGCUCUGUGCUGUCCCACAAAGAACCCAAGGCUCUCCUGCUCAACCUGACCUUGGCCGGAGGCUUAUUUCUGCUUCACUGCUUCUGCCUCACAGUCCUCUCCCUCAAAGCCCUUGCUGCUUCAAGCCUUGGGAAUUCAUGGCCAAGCACAGACCACAUCUUCCCAGAGCAGAUGUGGCACAGACUCGGGGUGGGGAAAAAGAGGAGGCAAGAAUCCACGCCUCACAAUGUGAAGGAAAGGCCUGGGGCCAGGCCAAAAAGGUCGUCUCCACGCCCUGUGCCACGGCCCAGCUCUCCACAGCCCGCGGCCUGAGUGUAGGCCAGCCCAGCAGGAAACAGCAGAGUCCACUUGUGGGAGGGAGUCUGAGGGGCUUCCCCUGGGCCCCCAGCCCCCUGCAGGCCUCCUCCCAGAGCCCUGACAUCUACUUAGAAGACUUACAGUGGACAGUCUCUGGCCCUCACACCAGGGGACUCCCAUGUUCUCUUCGCUGCUGGGGUGCCUGGAUGCCUGGGACCUGAAGGGUGGCCCCCAAGUCCAAGACUCCUCUGCCCACUGCCCCUGCCUGGCCUUGGCAGGCUCCUUGCGGGCCAGCAGCCCAGCCGGUUCAUGCUUGCUGCAGGCCUCCUUUUACCUUGUAACAUUUCAAACGCCCUUCCCUUCCCGGCCCCCAACACGCGCAAUCCACGUCCUCUUUCUUCCUCCCACUUCCCUGAUUCAGCUGUCAAACGGUGACAGCAAAAAAGAAAUGAGGGAUGCCUGGACAUCCAUGGAGGCCCAGGCUUGUUCCUGUUUGUGUGGGGGAGACAGAAACACCGAGAACUGGAUCUGGGAGGCCUCAUCCCAGAGGAAGCAGGGAGACAGCAGGGGAGACACGGAGGAAGCAUGCCCCUCCCUGGAAAGGAGUCCAUGCAGGGAGAGUGCAGGCCCACACCUGAACAUGAACAUCACCAGCCAGGGGAGACCUACUAGCCUCUUUCUGAGUUGGGCAGUCCCGGAACCAGGCGGCUUCAUCCAUGCCCUCUGCCUCACACGUCUGAGCCCCCUCAGCUCUCCUGAAGGGCAGCAGCUCCAGGCCCACACCAAAGCAUCCAGCUUUGAGUUCCAGGAUCUGGUGCCAGGGAGUCGCUACCAGCUGGAAGUGACUCCCCUGCGACCCUGUGGGCAGAAUGUCACUGUCACCCUCGCUGCUCGCACUGCCCCGCCAACUGUCCAUGGACUGCAGCUCCACAGCCCCGGAAGCCCAUCCAGCCUGGAGGCCUCAUGGGGUGAAGCCCCCGGGGAGCAGGAUGGCGAUCGCUUUCUCCUCUAGCACCUAGAAUCCCAGACAUUGGCACAUAAUAUCUCCAUGCCCCCGGGCACCCUGUCCUACAAUUUUGGAGACCUUUUGCCAGGUAGUGAGUGUAUUUUGGAAGUUAACACCUAGGCUAGCAACCUCCAAGCAAAAACCAGCCUCCAUCAGUGGACAGCCCCUGUGUCUCUAGAUCACCUGGUGCUGCAUACCCUGGGUACCAGGGCCUUGCAAGCCCAAGGGGGGCUGCCUGGCUCCACGUGGUGCUUAUAGACCUCCUAGGUGGCACCAACCUGACUGCAGUAGUCAGACGGGGAGUCUCCCAUCACACAUUCCUUCACCUGUCUCCGGGCACCCCCCAUGAGCUGACAUUCAGUGUUGCUGCUGGGCCCUAUUAGGCAGUGGGGCCCAAUGCCACAGAGUGGACCUGGGAGUAUCCCUCUGCCCCCCUCGACCUGGUAUUGACUCCCCUGCCCACCAAGCUCUGGGCAAGCAGGCAGGGAGGGCCAGGUGCCCUGGAUGGCUUCUUGCUGAAGUUAAGUGGGCCAGUGGAGAAGAAUAUCACUGUGGGUCCUGAAGCCUACAAUGUCACAUUCCCAGGGCCCCUGCCCACUGGGCACUAUGCUCUGGAUCUGAAGGUCCCAGCGGGGCCCUAUGGUGCCUGGACCCAGGCCAGUGCCUGGCUGGAUGAUUCUGCAGCCCAGUCCAGACAAGGCAGUGAUGCCAAGCUGCAGCUGGAUGGGCUGGAGGCCUCCAAGGAGCCCAGGAAACGGGCCCUGCUCUACAUGGAGGGAAACCUGGGCCUCCUUGGAAACAUCUCUGUGCCACCUGGUGCCACCCACAUCACCUUCUAUGGGCUGGUGCCUGGGGCCCGCUACUGUGUGGACAUUGCCUCAUCUCUGGGAAUCAUCACCCAGAGCCUCACGGGCCACACAAGUCCCGUGGCACCACAGUUACUCGAGGUUAUCAGCAGGGGCGGCUCCUCUGACCUGGCCAUUGACUGGGCCCCAGCACCAGGACAGCGGGAAGGCUACAGGGUCGCUUGGCACUAGGAGGGCAGCCAGAAGUCACCAGGCAGUCUUGUUGACUUGGGCCCGGACAACUCCAGCCUGACUUUGAGGAGUCUGGUGCCCAGCUCCUGCUGUGCCGUGUCAGUGUGGGCCUGGGCGGGGAACCUUAACUCCAGCAUUCAGAAGAUCCACAUCUGUACUUUCCCUGCUCCUCCUGCCAACUUGAGCCUGAACCUUGCCAUCCAGCCUCCUGCCCUGAGGGCUUCCUGGAGUCCCCCAUCAGUGGGGAGGGAGGACUUCCAGGUGCAGCUUUAUAGCCUGAGGCCUCUGACUCUGGAAAGGGAGGAGACUCUGGCUGCAGAGGUCCAGAACUUCUCCUGGGCCUAGCUGUCUCCGGGCACCGAGUUCCUGGUGCAGCUGGCCACCCUGCAGGGGCCGGAUCCGAGCAGCAGCACCAACGCCACAGGCUGGACAUGCCUGCUUGCCCCUCCUCUGGUAAAUGUGACGAGUGAAGGUCCCACCCAGCUCUGGGCAUCCUGGGUUCAUGCCUCCAGGGGCCGAGACAGCUACCAGGUGACCCUGUACCAGGCAGGCACCCAGGCAAGCACCAGCGCUGUGGGAGCCAAGGUGGCCAGCACAAGCUUUUUGAGUCUGACUCUAGGCACAAAGUACGAGGUGGAGGUUGUCAUGCAGGCUGGGACCCUCCACACUGUAGCAGCCAACACCUCUGGCUGGACCCCCCUGCGCCCACCCAGUGAAUUGUUGGUGUCCAGGCAUGCAAGCACCACUGUGGUCAGCCUGGCCUGGGUCAGCAGCCCCUUGAGGGCACACAGUCUCGGAGAAGGAAGGGGAUCCCAACUCUCAGAGGUGGGGCACCUCUCCUGGGAGCACCCCCGGUGCCAGGUCAAGCUCGCCUCAUCCUGAGGGGCCUCACACCUGGAUGCAACCUCUCCCUGUCAGUGCUGUGCCAGGCGGGGCCGCUGCAGGCGUCCACUCACCGCGUGGUGCUGCUUGUUGAGCCUGGCCCUGUGGAGGAUGUGCAGUGCCAGCCUGAGGCCACCUUCCUGGCCCUGAACUGGACGGUGCCUGCUGCGGACCGCUGGUGGGCACCUAUGUGGUGGUGGCAGAGCAGCUGGCGGCAGGAGGGAAUGCCCACCUCAUGGGCAUUCAUGUCAAUGUCAGCGUGUUCCAGGCUGACACCUCCAAAAAUGCAGUCCUGUUGCCCAGCCUGGUGCCUGCCACUUCCUAUCACCUCAGCCUCGCAGUGCUGGGCAGGAACGGUCUGUGGAGUCGGGGGUCACUCUGGUGUGCUCCACUUCUGCUGAGGCCUGGCAUCCACCAGCGUUAGCCCCAGCCCCUGAGCUGGAGCCUGGGACAGAAAUGGGAGUGAUGAUCCCGCAGGGUAUAUUAGGCAAGGAUGUCGGGCAGAUCCAGUGGUACCGCAUUAUUGCCACCAUCAACAUGUCACUGCCUCAGCCUUCCGGGGAAGCCAUCAACCACACGUGGCGUGACCGCUACUACAGAGGACAUGACUCCUACCUCGCCGUCCUGCUCCCCAAUCCCUUCUACCCGGAGCCCUGGGCUGUGCUGAGAUCCUGGACAGUGCCUGUGGGUACAGAGGACUGUGGCCACACCAAACAGAUGUGCAAUGGGCAGCUCAAGCCAGGUUCCCAGUAUAGGUGAGCCGUUGCAGCCUUUACCAGGUGUGGCCCUCCUGAGACCAUUAACUCCUUCUCAGCCUUCUCGGAGCCCCGGGCCAGUGUCCCCCCCGCAGCAGUGCCCCUGCCGGUAGUGGAGGGCCUCAUGGCGGGCUGUGUCCUCACCAUCUGUGCUGUGCUGGAGGAGGAAAAUGGGAAGAAUCCAUUUUCCCAAGAGCUGACAGCUUACAACCUGUGGUGGACCCACUGGCCCAUCCCUAUCCACAGCUUCAGGCAGAGCCAGGAGGCCAAGAGUGCCCACGCGCACCAGGCUCUCUUUUUGGAAUUCGAGGAGCUGAAGGAAGUGGGCAAGGAGCAGCCCACACUGGAGGCUGGGCUGGUGGUGCCAACACCACCAAGAACCGUUACCCACAUGUGCUACCCUAUGACCACUCCAGGGUCAGGCUGACCUGGCUGGACGGAGAGCCUCACUCUGACUACAUCAACGCCAACUUCGUCCCAGGCUACACCCAUCCACCCACAGGAAUUCAUUGCCCCUCAGGGGCCUCUCAGGAAAAUGCCGGAGGACUUCUGGCGGCUAGUGUGGGAGCUGCAGGUCCGCGUCAUCGUCAUGCUGACUGUCGGCAUGAAGGAUGGGAGGGUGCUGUGUGAGCAUUACUGGCCGGCGGACUCUACCCUGGUCAUCCGUGGUCACAUCACCAUCCACCUCCUGGCCAAGGAGCCUGAGGAUGAGUGGACCAAGCGGGAAUUCCAGCUGCAGCACAUGCGUGCCCUGAGGAUGAGCAGGUUGCCCAGCAACAGCAGCAGAGGGUGAAGCAACUAUGGUUCACCACCUGGCCCAACCACAGCAUGCUCGAGGCCCCCAGCUCCCUGCCCGCCUUUAUGGAGCUGGUACAGGAGCAUGCAAGGGCCACCCAAGGCAUGGGACCCAUCCUGGUGCACUGCAGGUCCCCCUCGUUUCUCGCGGAGCAGCCUGAUGCCCCUCCCCCUGGCAGAGCCAGUACAUCUUCCUGCACAGCUGCCUACUGAACAAGAUUCUGGAAGCGCCCCCCAACGUCUCUGAGUAAGUCCCAGCUUCCCUGUGCCUCCCACAGGCAGGCUCCCUGCUCCUGUUCGUGGGCAGAGCCGAGCAGACUAGAAUGGGGAGCUGGGGAACCUUGACUGCCUUCUCCCUCUUCAACCCCUCAACGAGGUCCUGGCCCAUCUCUGUGAUGAAAUUCAUGCAGGCUUGUGCCAAGAGGGCAGCCAGUGCCAACGCUGGCUUCUUGAAGAAGUACGAGGUACACUUCAGGCCAGGAAGUGGGUGACAGCCAAGGGCAGCCUUCCCCUGCGGAGCCAGCCCUGCAGUGGGACCUCCCAGCCUCAGGGCACUCAUCUCCUUCCCAGCUCCUGCUGCAGGCCAUCAAGGACGAGGCUGGUUCUUCCACGCCCCCUCCUGGCUGUAAGCAGGACAGCCCCAUCUCCUGUGAGUCUCACCGCGGACCCUGUGGAGAGGCAGGGGGCCAGCGUGGGCUGGGGGGCCUCUGGCAGCUUCACCCUCACUGUCUUCCAUCAGAUGACUGUUGUCAGGGACGGUUUUCUCCGGUGGAGGAGAACCCCCCGACGACAUGCCGGAAGCCUGGCUCUUCCCUGUGAGAUGAUGCUGGUUUUGCCACUGUUUCCUGCCCUCUUUGACCACCUGUACUUCCCAGGCAGGGGCUGCUGGGGGCUCCCAGAGUUGUGGGCUGGACAGGGG